AUGCACAUAGUGAGAUGCGCACGCCGGCCUGUCCCUCCUACAACACGUCAAAGCUCACUUCGAGUCCAAUCCGGCCGUUCACGUGGAGUUCUUCGCCCUCCUCACGCGCUUCGGCAAGCCCUCCUCGCGCGCUUCGGCAAGGGCGAGAUCUCCAACAUCCGCGACGUCGUUGACAACACGUAUGCGCUCCUCCAGGGCCAUCCCGACCUCAUCCAGCACUUCGAUGCCUUCAACCCAUUUCUCUGUUGCCCCGGCCAGCACGAAGCCGAGUCCGCCCACAAGGAUCCGCCGACGCGGCCCAAGAGGGAGCGUCGUCGCUCGGUUGUCGUCGACGCCGAUUGUGCCGGACCAUGCAGUUCCUCGAGCGGGUGA
rnacentral:rRNA from 1 species